UGACGUGACGGGGCCGGGAACGCGUUCCC
rnacentral:sRNA from 1 species